CCUACGGGAGGCAGCAGUAGGGAAUCUUUCACAAUGGGCGAAAGCCUGAUGGAGCAACGCCGCGUGCAGGAUGAAGGCCUUCGGGUUGUAAACUGCUUUUAUAAGCGAGAGAUAUGAUGGUAACUUAUGAAUAAGGAUCGUCUAACUACGUGCCAGCAGCCGCGGUCAUACGUAGGAUCCGAGCAUUAUCCGGAGUGACUGGGUGUAAAGAGUUGCGUAGGUGGCAUAAUAAGUAGCUAGUGAAAUCUGGUGGCUCAACCAUUCAGACUAUUAGCUAAACUGUUAAGCUCGAGACCGUUAGGGGUAACUGGAAUUUCUAGUGUAGGAGUGAAAUCCGUAGAUAUUAGAAGGAACACCAAUAGCGUAGGCAGGUUGCUGGGACGGUUCUGACACUAAGGCACGAAAGCGUAGGGAGCAAACAGGAUUAGAUACCCCAGUAGUC
rnacentral:rRNA from 1 species